AGUGAACGCUGGCGGUAGGCCUAACACAUGCAAGUCGAACGGCAGCACAGUAAGAGCUUGCUCUUACGGGUGGCGAGUGGCGGACGGGUGAGGCAUACAUCGGAAUCUACUUUUUCGUGGGGGAUAACGUAGGGAAACUUACGCUACUACCGCAUACGACCUACGGGUGAAAGCAGGGGAUAUUCGGACCUUUCGCGAUUGAAUGAGCCGAUGUCGGAUUAGCUAGUUGGCGGGGUAAAGGCCCACCAAGGCGACGAUCCGUAGCUGGUCUGAGAGGAUGAUCAGCCACACUGGAACUGAGACACGGUCCAGACUCCUACGGGAGGCAGCAGUGGGGAAUAUUGGGCAAUGGGCGCAAGCCUGAUGCAGCCAUACCGCGUGGGUGAAGAAGGCCUUCGGGUUGUAAAGCCCUGUUGUUGGGAAAGAAAAGCAGCAGGUUAAUACCCGGCUGUUCUGACGGUACCCAAAGAAUAAGCACCGGCUAACUUCGUG
rnacentral:rRNA from 1 species